rnacentral:tmRNA from 1 species
UUUCUUGAUUUUUUUAAAACUUUACUUAUAAUAUAAAUGUCCCGCAAGGGAAGACGAUGCUGAAUGCUUUAUGAAAUAGGCUUUUUGGACUGGGGGGCGGUACCCCACAUCUCCACCAAUUUAAACUUUAUGGGGAUGAAAUAGUUUCGACAGGGGCUGAAAGAUAAAGAGUGUGUCCGGCGUGGUUGCCGCAAAAGACCAAAAAAAACUGAAUGGCGAUAAUUUCGCUGCGAACGACAAUGUUCGCUUUGCAAUGGCUGCCUAAUUGGCGUUAGAAUCCGUCGGCAAUUGUUGACGAUUCUGUUAAGCUUUUGCGGGGUUUGUCGGUACCUGGCACCAGAAACCGACUUUU